ACGCUCGACACCUACGGGAGCAGCAGUGGGGAAUAUUGCACAAUGGAGGAAACUCUGAUGCAGCGAUGCCGCGUGAGGGAAGAAGGUUUUCGGAUUGUAAACCUCUGUCUUUGGGGACGAUAAUGACGGUACCCAAGGAGGAAGCUCCGGCUAACUACGUGCCANNCGCGUAUNUNAGNGGCGNGNGAG
rnacentral:rRNA from 1 species